ensembl:snoRNA small nucleolar RNA SNORA51
GGCCUUUGGGUGCUUACAUAGGCUUUAUUCUUACACUGAUUGUAUAGAAAAAGAAGGCAAAGUAAGCCUGCCCAUCGAUGUACAUCUCAGCCCAUGCCCAUGCCUGGUCUUUAUUGUGGAUGGAUAGGGUUUA